UACAGAGGUCUCAAGCGUUGUUCGGAUUCAUUGGGCGUAAAGGGUGCGUAGGUGGCGCCGUAAGUCGGGUGUGAAAUUUCGGAGCUUAACUCCGAAACUGCAUUCGAUACUGCGGUGCUUGAGGACUGGAGAGGAGACUGGAAUUCAUGGUGUAGCAGUGAAAUGCGUAGAGAUCCGGAGGAACACCAGUGGCGAAGGCGGGUCUCUGGACAGUUCCUGACACUGAGACACGAAGGCCAGGGGAGCAAACGGG
rnacentral:rRNA from 1 species